UCCAGGCAGGCGAGAGCAGAAGCUCGAGAGGAGGUGCGGCAACCUACCGCCACCACCCUCGAUAGGAGUAACCGGUGGCCUCUCUACUCUCCAGUUAGAAUCCCUCCGCUCUCUCCCCCCUACCGGGAGCCAAACGCUAAGCCUCGAGAAGAGGGAGGGAGGGAGGGAGGACGGAGGGUGUUAGCUUCGCCCAAGGUGGGAGCUUGUUUUCUCGCUUCGUCAGCCCGCGAGUUCGGCAUUUCCCGAGCACUUUUCGGCUUCUCUUUCGUCGGACUCGAGGUUUCGACUGUUGCUGCGUGAAAUGUCUUCAUUUUAUUUCCUUCUUUUGUCUUGGUCUUGGAUUUUGAUGGCUCAUACUGGGAAAAACUAUAAUUAGAAUAGGAAUUGACGAUUUAUUAAGAUCUGUUUUUUUAGUCUUGGAAUUGUGAAUUUCAGUUGUUUUCCCACACGUUUUUCUAUGGCGAGACCAGUUCUAGCUAGUUUGCGGGAUUAAUUGCUUCUAGGCUGGAACUCGGUGGUGCUUGAAAAAAAGUUUGAAUUUUUUGCACUUCUCUUUCACUAUUCUCGUAAACCAAAAAAACGUUUGAAAGUUGGUGUUUUAUGUGGUGUUGCCGUUCGAAAUUAAGUUAAUGGUCUUCUUUUUCCGAGGAGUUUUUUCUCCUUUAGUCCUUUCCCGCUUUGGUUUCGUUAUUAAUUAAUUAUUUCAUUUCGAAGACGGAAUCGGAUGCCAAAUUAUAAAGGUGCAAUUUUUAUUUUUAAGUUUUGAAUUUUUGGUAAAUAAAACAGACGAAUUUGUAAGAAGAGGAGGUCCGCAUCUUCCCAUCAUGGUCGCCUCCGUUGCUGCCUCGUCCUUCUUCCCGGUCCCAUCUUCCUCCUCCUCCACCUCGGCUAAAGCUUCGAGAGGCAUCCCCGAUCGUUUGGAUGUCCGGGGUAGCGUGGCGAAGCCGGCAUCUUCUUCCGGGUGGAUGCAGGCCAAGGCAAACGCCCGAGCCAUCCCCAAGAUCGACGACACCAAGGUUGGCCUGCGAACCGACGUCGAGG
rnacentral:lncRNA from 1 species